rnacentral:lncRNA from 1 species
UCAUACUUAGAGUUCUGUCCAGUAAAGAUGAUGAAUUUUUAUUACCUAACUUCUUUUUCUGCCAUUGACUUUACAGCCUAAUCUCUCUCUUGGAUUCAGAGAAGUAGUCAUCGAGGUGCCUAGCACGAUGGUGUAAGGCUGUGAAUAUUUUUGGGACAGAUGUUCUGGACGCUUUGCAUGCCAUGGUGAAAUUUCAUGGUGAAUGUUUGGAGAAUGACAAUAAUUCAAGGAACAAGAAUUGAUGAAGACAAAAGGUCACAAAGAAGUUGAGGGAUAGGAAGGCCCUGGGACGCAUUGGAACUACUGAGCAUCUCUAUCCACGACUCAUUAGAGAGCAGUGAAGGCAGAGGUGAAUGUUGAAUCCUGCCUUAAGACAUUUAAAAGAGAACUACUUCCUUCUGUUAAAACUUCUGUUA